GAUGAACGCUGGCGGCGUGCCUAAUACAUGCAAGUCGAGCGAACGGACGAGAAGCUUGCUUCUCUGAUGUUAGCGGCGGACGGGUGAGUAACACGUGGUUAACCUACCUAUAAGACUGGGAUAACUUCGGGAAACCGGAGCUAAUACCGGAUAAUAUUUUGAACCGCAUGGUUCAAAAGUGAAAGACGGUCUUGCUGUCACUUAUAGAUGGAUCCGCGCUGCAUUAGCUAGUUGGUAAGGUAACGGCUUACCAAGGCAACGAUGCAUAGCCGACCUGAGAGGGUGAUCGGCCACACUGGAACUGAGACACGGUCCAGACUCCUACGGGAGGCAGCAGUAGGGAAUCUUCCGCAAUGGGCGAAGGCCUGACGGAGCAACGCCGCGUGAGUGAUGAAGGUCUUCGGAUCGUAAAACUCUGUUAUUAGGGAAGAACAUAUGUGUAAGUAACUGUGCACAUCUUGACGGUACCUAAUCAGAAAGCCACGGCUAACUACGUG
rnacentral:rRNA from 1 species